rnacentral:lncRNA from 1 species
CUUUUCUUUAGUUGUACUUUUUUUUUUUUUUUUUCAUUUACACCAAUAUUAAAUAAGUGUUUUAGCAUAUUUACUGGUAUGCCAAAAGCACAAUUGUGGUGAGACCAGAGCUGUCUGCAUAUUUAAAGUAUCUGUAAUUAGGACUGGAUGAACUCCACCCCGAAACAGCCAUGAUGGGGUUAACAGUGAGCAGCUAUUUUCCCAGCUGUGGCCCAGUGCCAGAAUCACAACAGCUGGGACAAAAGGCUGCCGACCAGGCAAAAUGGGGUAAUUGCCAGAGAGGUUAGGAUUUACCUCAAGGAGACUCUUUAGCUACAGUUUAAUAGAGGAGUGCCUUGGGAAUGCUCUCAAAAAUGCCUUAGGUAUGCUGGCUGGGGUAAGGCUGAAGAGUAUCAGUCUUUUUAAGGCUUCUCUUCUAAGCCACGUAAGGAUAUCUGAUGUGGGCACCAGGCCAGAAAGCUAGGGUCUUUCUAGUCUGGUUGUCCUUACUAGCUUCUAGAGUAGGCUUGGGGAGAUUGAACCAUUUUGGUAUUGUCAAUUGGACUCUUUGUAAAACAAAAUAGUGCUUAAAGAGAAAAGUACCACACAGAGGAAAUUUUAUGUAAUUCUACAGAGGAUACCAUAUUACUAGAGAACAUCAAGUGCAGGUAUUCAAGGAAAAUAAAAUGGUCUGAACGAUUUCAUGGGUCUGAUCUCAGUAGGAAGGAAUAAGAAGAGAUAUAUAAGCAAACGAAAUACUGCUGAGCAUAUAUUCACUAAAGUCUACUGUCAAAACUACCUAGCUGACAGAGCACUAGGGGAUCUCUGCUGAAGUUCCACUGCUCCAGGAAACUGUUUCCUGUUUUCAGUCAUGGAAUGCCAACUUCUAUGCAGUUGACCUGUGUUUAGGGUUUUCUUCAGGGUCACUUUAAGACAACAAAGGGACACUAAUCACACCUGGAGAAGAGGACCUCACCUUUUAUGCAACUAUGCAUUUGUCCUUACUUGAAAGGACUGAAAAGGAUCCUGUCUCUGCUACCAGGGAGAGCCAUGUAGGAACAAGGUGGUGGGCAGAAGAAAAGACAUCAGGAAAAGAUGGUAAUGGUCAUAACAGGUGGCCAUUUUCUCUUCUGAAUCUGGAGAUUAAGUACACAAGCUUUGCUGUCGCUGUUGUAGAAUGGUAGGAGACCAUCAGUGGAGACUAUCAAGAAGGGAGGCAAUCACUGCCAUACUAGAACAUAAUGAGGUAAUAUCUCCGAUAACACAGUAGUAUUUUGGUGGACACUGCAGCAAGC